rnacentral:tRNA from 1 species
AUCUGGCUGGCUCACUUGGUGGAGCAUAUGACUCUUGAUCUCAGGGUUGUGGGUUCAAGCCCCACACUGGGUG